rnacentral:rRNA from 1 species
AACGAACGCUGGCGGCAUGCCUAACACAUGCAAGUCGAACGAGACCUUCGGGUCUAGUGGCGCACGGGUGCGUAACGCGUGGGAACCUGCCCUUAGGUUCGGAAUAACUCCCCGAAAGGGGUGCUAAUACCGGAUAAUGUCUUCGGACCAAAGAUUUAUCGCCUUUGGAUGGGCCCGCGUUGGAUUAGCUAGUUGGUAGGGUAAAAGCCUACCAAGGCGACGAUCCAUAGCUGGUCUGAGAGGAUGAUCAGCCACACUGGGACUGAGACACGGCCCAGACUCCUACGGGAGGCAGCAGUGGGGAAUAUUGGACAAUGGGCUAAAGCCUGAUCCAGCAAUGCCGGGUGAGUGAUGAAGGCCUUAGGGUUGUAAAGCUCUUUUACCCGGGAUGAUAAUGACAGUACCGGGAGAAUAAGCUCCGGCUAACUCCGUG